AGUGAACGCUGGCGGUAGGCCUAACACAUGCAAGUCGAACGGCAGCACAGUAGGAGCUUGCUCUUACGGGUGGCGAGUGGCGGACGGGUGAGGAAUACAUCGGAAUCUACUUUUUCGUGGGGGAUAACGUAGGGAAACUUACGCUAAUACCGCAUACGACCUACGGGAGAAAGCAGGGGAUCUUCGGACCUUGCGCGAUUGAAUGAGCCGAUGUCGGAUUAGCUAGUUGGCGGGGUAAAGGCCCACCAAGGCGACGAUCCGUAGCUGGUCUGGGAGGAUGAUCAGCCACACUGGAACUGAGACACGGUCCAGACUCCUACGGGAGGCAGCAGUGGGGAAUAUUGGACAAUGGGCGCAAGCCUGAUCCAGCCAUACCGCGUGGGUGAAGAAGGCCUUCGGGUUGUAAAGCCCUUUUGUUGGGAAAGAAAAGCAGCAGGUUAAUACCCCGCUGUUCUGACGGUACCCAAAGAAUAAGCACCGGCUAACUUCGUG
rnacentral:rRNA from 1 species